UGGGUUGUGGCUCAAUGGUAGAGCAUUCACCUCGCACGAGCGAGACCCUGCGUUUGAUCCUCAGCAACACAU
rnacentral:tRNA from 1 species